AGCCAGGUCCAGCUGAUUCAGGGUGCACUGGCUCUCCAUGCUGCUGGGCAGGAAGGACUGGAAGACGUCUCCUUGGUCGCUGAACGGGAAGGCCGAGCUGGAGCUCUCCAGCGAGAACACCGAGCUCGCCGAUGGGCCGUACAUCUGCAUUCGACAGGGACAAGCGUGGGCAGGUUGCUGAAGUCGAGCGGGUUCACGGUCGCGAGCUUCAUGGAGAGGAACUGAAGCAACGGAAACAGAGGAGGAGUUGAUCAGAAUUCAGAGCGCAUCGGAUGGUUUCAGCAGGCCCACGCUCUUCUUACCUCGACUUGCCGUUGAAGCGACUGCACGUAGUUUAUGAUCUCAUCAAGCAUCAGUGCCUUGCCAAUCACCUAAAGGUCACGCACAAAAUUUGGCCAGUUUAAUUGAUAACCUUGUACACAAAGACUGUCUUCUAUAUAUUACAAAAGAAAUGUUCAUCAAGAUUAUCAUGUGCU